GAUGAAGAACGCAGCGAAAUGCGAUACUUGGUGUGAAUUGCAGAAUCCCGUGAACCAUCGAGUCUUUGAACGCAAGUUGCGCCCGAAGCCACUAGGCCGAGGGCACGCCUGCCUGGGCGUCAGACGUCGUUGCCCCCCCCCCAUCUACUCCUUCGGGAUUGCGGGGGGCGGAUGAUGGCCUCCCGUGCGCCUAGCCGCGCGGUUGGCAUAAAUACCAAGUCCUCGGCGACGCACGCCACGACAAUCGGUGGUUGCGAAACCUCGGUUGCCCGUCGUGUGCGUUCGUCGCGCAUCGAGGGCUCGAAAAAAUGCUCGGCUCCGGCUCGGCUUUCAACGCGACCCCAGGUCAGGCGGGGUUACCCGCUGAAUUUAAGCAUAUCAAUAAGCGGAGGA
rnacentral:misc_RNA from 1 species